GCCAUAUCAUGAUUAAACACCGGUUCUUGUACGAUCAUCAAAGUUAAGCAACGUCGAGCCUUGUUAGUACCGAGAUGGUUGACCGCUUGGGAAUACUAGCUGCU